GUGGGUAUUUGCUCAGCUCCCAUGAUCCCAUCCAGAUGUGAGGAGCACAGUUGGCUAAUUAAGCUGAAAGCAGCAUUAAGAAUCCCAGGGAAGAAAUCAAGACAUCUGUUCCCCUCAGAUCCUCACUUGGUUCCUUUGUGUUGCUACUUGGCAUUUAGCUGAGACAGUGGGGAGAUCCAUGGAGUAUGGAGAAUUCAGCCAAGAUUUUGCUGAGGAGGAGAGAUUAAAGUGGGACUUGACAGAUCCCUGUGAUGAGCUUGGAAAACAGAAGCAGAUAAUGUUUCCUCCAUUGCUGGACAAAAUGAGAGCAUUUCGCAGGUUUGGCUGAUGAUUUCAUUGUAAACAGGAUGUUUACAGAUACUGAUGACCAUCCCUAGAAUUCAUAUUGAGAAUUUCCGUGCCACAUUAACUUCCAGAUGUCCUUGGGAAAAGUGUCUACUAUGCUGCCUUGGUUUCCUCAAUGAGAGUGAGAACAAAUGGAUCUGAAGAGGUGAUCUUGGCCCUAAUUUCCAAGUUCUGGGAAGAUAAACAGGGUUUUCUUUUGAAUCCUUCGGAGCCUGGGAGCUUCAAGAGAAACUCAACUCCAGGCACUUGAACUGACAGAGAAUUUAGAUUCUCCUCCAGGGAAAGGGGCAGAGCAUGGAUCCUGGCUUUGAGCCGCCUCCCAGCUUUUCUGUUGUCCUUGAGGCUGCUACGUUAACACUGUCCUUGCUUUGUGUGGUUUUGCUGUUACUACCUGUCCUGUGGAUUUCUGACAAUUACAAGCCGUGUACCCCACCACACAUGCAAGCAUUUCUCAUUUAUUCUGAGUACUUUAAGGACUGCCCAAUCUGAAUGCAGAGAACUAUGUCUCAUUCAUUUUUGUGUGUCCAGGCCCUCACAGGGUUUGGGGAUCCUGAUAUAGGGUUGGAUUCGGUGACCUCUCAAAUCCUCUUCAGCACUUUCAUGCACAGAAGCCAGCAUCCUCUGGACUGUCAUUAUCCAGUUUUAUUAAAGCAGGUUACAAUAUAAAAGAACCCAUCAUCAGCCAUCAUCACUGAUCUUGGAUAGCUUGCCCUUGGCUGGUGGCCUAAGGAUUCCUUUCUUUUUUUACCUAUCAAAAUCAUUCUUGUACAUAAGCUGUCCCCCUCCCUGCAAAGUAUUCCUUGACUAUCAUAGACAAAAUAUGUCACUCCCUUCCCUCUUCCCAUGAUCUUUGCUUUACAUUCAAAUGUCACCAUUUUAUGGAUCCAUUUGUUUUCUUUAUCGGAUUGUAAAUUCCUUGAGGGUGGAGACUGGAUCUAAUUCAACAUGGUAUCCCAUGGUUCCUUGCCAUGGGAUAUAGUGAAAAUGCAGCAAGUGUGGGACUUGGUGAACAGCGGAUAGUUCACUUGCUGCAGAGGAUGGGUUUUUCUUUCUCUACCCAUGCCCUUUGACUUUGAGUUUGGCCAUUGGACUUGCUUUGGCCAAUGGGAUGCUCACAGACACCAUGCAAGUAGAGGCUUAGAACAUGUGUAUGAACUUGACUUGCCCUCUGUGCUGUUAGGUCUCCUGACCUAAGGAGGAGGAUGAGAAACACAUGGACCAGACCUGCCCCAGCCAAUCCGCAAGCCUAGACAGGAUCUCACUGCUGGUCUUGAACUCCUGGAUGCAAGUAAUCUUCCCAACUUGGCCUCCCAAAGUGCUGGGAUUAUAGCCAUGAGCCACCGCACCUGGCCAGAAAUAUCUUUAAAGCAGGAAGAAGGAAAUGAUGCAUUACCUAUAAGAAGAAAUGAUUACCUAUAGAAGAAAAUGAUUCAAAUGCAACUGAUUUCUCAUUGUCUGCACAUAAGAAACCAGCAAAAUGUAUUUCAAGUGCUGAAUAUAAAGAAAUGCCAAGCUAGAAUUCCAUCAUCAAUAAAAAUAUCCUUCAAGAACGAAGGGGAUAAGCCAGGCACAAAAAUACAACUACUGCAUAUUCUCACUUAUAUGUGGAAUCUAAAAUAAUAGGAAUAGAGAGCAGAAUGAUAGUUACCAGAGUCUGGGGUUUGGGAAUAUGGGAAGAUAUUGGUUAAAACAUACAAUGGUUCAGUUAGGAGGAAUAAAUAGUAAGUAUUUGAGGUGAUGAAUAUAUUAAUUUGCUUAACUCAAUCAUUCCAUAUUGUAUACAUACAUCAUAGCAUCACUUUGUACUUCAUAAAUAUAUACAAUUAUCAUUUGUCAAUAUUCAAUUAAAAACAGAAUGAACAGAAUGAAGAGGACAUGGAGGCAUUUUCAGAUGAAGAGAAACUAACAGGAUUUUUCAGCAGACUUACUCUAAAUGAAUGGCUACAGGAAAUACUAUAAAAAUAAAGGAAAUGAUAAAAGAAGAAACUUUGUAACAUCAAGAAAGAAGGAAGAACCACCAGUAAACAAAAAUAUGGGUAAAUAAAAUAAAAUUUUUUUUAACUUCUUUAGUUUUCUCUAUUAUCUUUGAUGGUUGAAACAAAAAUUGUAACACUAUCUGAUGUGGUUCUAAACGUAUGCACAGGAAAUACUCAAGAUAACUAUAUCAUAAGUCGGGGAGGGUAAAAGAACAUAAAGGAAAGUAAGGUUUCUGUACUUUACUCAAACUGGUAAAUGAAAAACUGGCAGGCUGUGAUAAAUUACAUGCAUUUAAUGCGAUACCUAGAGCAACCACUAAAAAAAAAAAAAAGCUAUGCAAAGAGAUACAUUCAAAUGCUAUGGAAAAAUAAAAAUGAAAUUUAAAAAAUGUUCAAGAAAGCCACAGGGAGGUAAGAAAAACCAAACAGAAAAAUGGAAAGCAAAGAGGAUAAACAGAAAACAAAAAAGAAAAUGGCAGAAUUAAGCUCUAACACAUAAUUAAUUACAUUAACUAUAAAUGGUCUAGAUAUACAAAAUAAAAGAGAUUGGCAGGGUUGUUUAACAAACAUGACUAAAUUAUAUUCUAUCUGAAGGAAACUAACUUCAAAUAGAAUUAUAAAUGUAUGAUAAAGGAUAUAUUAUGCAAAUAUUAACCAAAGAAAACAAGAGUAACUUUAUUAAUGGUAGAUAAAGUAUACUUCAGAACAAAGACAAUUACCAGAGAUAGAGAUAUUAUAUAAUGACAAAAGGGUCAAUCUAUUAAGAAUAGCAAUUUUAAAUGUGUAUGCAUCGAACAAAAAAGCUGCAAAGCAUGUGAAGCAAAAACUGAUAUAAUUGAAGGGAGAAAUUUUAAAAAGUCUACAAGUAUAGUUAGACACAUCAACCCCUCUCUUGACAAAUAAUAGAACAACUAGACAGAAAAUUAGCAAGAAUAUAGAAGAACUCAACACUACCUUCAACCAACAGGAUCUAGUCAAUACUUACAGAAUAUCCAAACCAACAAUAGUAGAAUAUAUUUUGUUUCCAAGUGCUCACAGAACAUAUGCAAGAUAGACCAUAUCCUCAGCUACACAACAAACCUCAACACAUUCAAAAAAUUGAAAGCAUACAAAAUGUAUUCUCCUAUAGCAAUGGAAUCACACUAGAAAUCAAUAACAGAAAGACAAUAGGAAAAUCUCUAAACACUUGGCAACAAAAAGACAUACUCCAAAAUAAUUCGUGGUUCAAAGAGGGAGUCUCAUGGGAAAUUAAAAAAAAGUUUCAGCUGAAUGAAAGUGAAAACAACAUAUCAAAAUUUGUGGGAUACAGCUAAAGUAAUGCUGGGAGGGCAAUUUAUAGCACAAAAUGCAUAUGUUACAAAAGAGGAAAGGUCUCAAGUCAAUAAUUUAAGCUCUUACCUUCAGAAUCUAGAAAAAGAAGAGCAAAAUAAACCUAAAGCAAGCAGGAGGAAAGAAAUAAUAAAGAAAACAGCUGAAAUCAAUGAAACUGAAAACAGAAAAACAAAUGAGAAAAUCAUUGAAACGAAGAGCUGGUUCUUUGAAAUGAGAAACAAAGUUGACAAACUUCUAGCAUGACUGACAAAGUAAAAAGAAGAUAGCAAUAUUUGGAAUGGAAGAUAUCACUGCAUAUCCUGCAGACAUCAAAAGGAUAUUUAGGGCAUUUUACACCACAGAUUUGACAACACAGACAAAAUAGACCAAUUUUCUUUAAAAAAAAAACACCAGUGACUUCAACUUACCCAAUAUGAAAUGGAUAAUUUGAAUAGUAGUAUAAUUAUUAAAAAAUUAAAUUGAUAACUGAAAAAACCCACAAAACAAAUUUCCAGGCCCAAAUGGUUUCACUGGAGAAUUUUAUAAAAUACUUAAUGAAUUAAGACCAAUUCUUUUGGGAGGCUGAGGUGGGC
rnacentral:lncRNA from 10 species